CGUUUGAUGAUCUGUAGAUAGUCCGUCUACCACUUAAACACGUGAAUACUCGCGUGACUUUACUAGGCAAAAUGAGAAUCGCAAUUCCUUCCUAAUCCCAGGUUCUCUCUUCUUGAAAACCCUAAAUCCCCAAAUCUCUCUGCUAAUUUCAUACAAGAGGAAGAAGCUUUCCUUGAAGUUUUCCUUGAAUUUAUCGAAAAUUGCAAUUCCUUGCAAAAUCAGGUGAUGGCAUUUACAAUGAAUCACUAACUUCUCUGAUGUGUUGCCAAUUUCAUAAUUCUGGUAAAAUUUCGGGAUUGCACUGAAUUGCAAUGAACUUUCGGCAUAUUCGUUCUUUUUACUCACCUCUUCCAGAACAUAAUAAGUGUGAAUUAUGAGGGUUUUGCUGAAGGUCUUAGUUUCUGGGGCGAAAGUCGGUGAUAAAUUCCUCGUAGACGGGAAUGGAUUGGCUGGAUAUCGAUUCUAGUAUUGCUGAGAGGGUUGAUUUUGUUGCCACUUCUUUUGUCAAGUCUACAAAAGGGAAUAAGGGAUUAAUUAUCUUAAGAGUUACAUUACUGCACGAUCUGGUGACAGGAUUGGCUGGAUAUUUUGGUAUUGCUGAGAGGGUUGAUUUUAUCGCCACCUCUUCUGUGAAGUCUGCAGAAGUGAUUGAUCGUCUUAAGAGUUAGAUUACUGCAUGAUCUGGUGACAGGUAAUUUUUUUUGCUCUGAUUAGCGAAAAUAAAAAGAAAGAAAAGAAAACCUACACCAUUUCGGUAAUUAAAGGACUGCAUGUUCAACAUCCAAACCUUGUUGCUUUGAUCGUAAGCUGAGUGCUUUGUGUGGUUUUUUUAAAGCUGUGCACCGGGAAGUUCAUGUGCUAGCACUCUUUCACCCCUUCUUUUUGGGUUAUGUUUGGACUAAAGCAAUGAUUGUGGAACAGCCAUUAUGGUGACGGUUACUGUUUUUUUAUGGGAAAACAUAACACUCGAUAACGGCCAUUAUAUUAUAAUGGGGAUAAUGAAAAUAACAUUCGCCUUUUAAUAUUCUUUCCUUUUCUUUGAUCCGUGACUGUUAUAGCUGUUAUAACGGUAACGACCUCCUACCAUCGUUUUAAAACCUUGGUCUGGUGUGGUUGUAGAAAAAAGAUAGGAAAACAAAGAUUAAAGCUAGCGUAUAAGCCAAAUUGUAGAAAGAAAACAUAGCAUUGUCACAGCCCACAGUCCCACACAGCUUACCUCUUUCGCUUUCUUCUUGUGUCUGGGUAAUGAAGUAGGAAGGGUAAAACAUACAAAAGCGGAAUAGACCGAGGCAUAUAUCAUCUUGGUAUAUAUACUUGGGGUAUGACGUCCCAAAAAUUUCUCUAUAGCACAAUCUAGUAUGAGUUUUUGAACAAAUAGGUUAUCCUUUAAAAGUACCAAAUGUGUAUAGUUAAUAGAUGCUAUGGAAAACUCUAGAAAACUUCUAGCAUAUAUGACCCGUGUUAGACAUGAGUAGUUAGGGUGUAUAUGGCUUUCUAUUAACUGCUUAUAUCUAACACAUGUACUACAUGUUAUAAGUUUUCUAAACUUCAGGACAUUGCAUUUUCAUAUUCAGAGAGCAUCUCAGAGGAGAUCUGCAACUCUGCCCAAAAUGGCCGACAACUUAGAAUUCUGAUACCUUUGUUGAUGAAGUUUCCCAAGUUUUACUAUCAAGUUUCUGCUUUUGUUCAUUUAGGUUCUUUUCCAAUUCAUGCUGUAAUUAAAAUAGUGUACGUAGUCUAGUUGGCCCUCCUUAUUCGGUCUGCUAUCAGUAAUUCGUUGUACUCCAUUCUAUAUGAAUUUUCUUUAGAUAUUUGAAGAAGUUUUAAUCAAAAUUUUGUAUUGUGACUUUGGUAAUUUUGCAAGGAAUGUGUUUUAUGUGUAGUGAGCUUGGGCACAUUUUUGUUCGUGUCCUGGAUAAAAGUUUAAUCAUACUUUAUGUCCCUUUUUUUGUUUAUAUCGUACAGAAUGUGUUUUCUUA